rnacentral:rRNA from 1 species
GACUCCGUGAAGUCGGAAUCGCUAGUAAUCGCAAAUCAGAAUGUUGCGGUGAAUACGUUCCCGGGCCUUGUACACACCGCCCGUCACACCAUGGGAGUGGGUUGCACCAGAAGUAGAUAGCUUAACCUUCGGGAGGGCGUUUACCACGGUGUGAUUCAUGACUGGGGUGAAGUCGUAACAAGGUAACCCUAGGGGAACCUGGGGUUGGAUCACCUCCUUACCUUAA